rnacentral:rRNA from 1 species
AGAGUUUGAUCCUGGCUCAGAACGAACGCUGGCGGCAGGCCUAACACAUGCAAGUCGAGCGCGCUUUCGGGUGAGCGGCGGACGGGUUAGUAACGCGUGGGAACGUGUCCUUUCUCUACGGAAUAGCCUCUGGAAACGGAGAGUAAUACCGUAUACGCCCUUUGGGGGAAAGAUUUAUCGGAGAAGGAUCGGCCCGCGUUAGAUUAGGUAGUUGGUGGGGUAAUGGCCUACCAAGCCUACGAUCUAUAGCUGGUUUUAGAGGAUGAUCAGCAACACUGGGACUGAGACACGGCCCAGACUCCUACGGGAGGCAGCAGUGGGGAAUCUUAGACAAUGGGGGCAACCCUGAUCUAGCCAUGCCGCGUGAGUGAUGAAGGCCUUAGGGUCGUAAAGCUCUUUCGCCUGUGAUGAUAAUGACAGUAGCAGGUAAAGAAACCCCGGCUAACUCCGUGCCAGCAGCCGCGGUAAUACGGAGGGGGUUAGCGUUGUUCGGAAUUACUGGGCGUAAAGCGCGCGUAGGCGGAUUAGAAAGUUGGGGGUGAAAUCCCGGGGCUCAACCUCGGAACUGCCUCCAAAACUGCUAGUCUAGAGUUCGAGAGAGGUGAGUGGAAUUCCGAGUGUAGAGGUGAAAUUCGUAGAUAUUCGGAGGAACACCAGUGGCGAAGGCGGCUCACUGGCUCGAUACUGACGCUGAGGUGCGAAAGUGUGGGGAGCAAACAGGAUUAGAUACCCUGGUAGUCCACACCGUAAACGAUGAAUGCCAGUCGUCGGGUAGUAUACUAUUCGGUGACACACCUAACGGAUUAAGCAUUCCGCCUGGGGAGUACGGUCGCAAGAUUAAAACUUAAAGGAAUUGACGG